rnacentral:rRNA from 1 species
UACGGGGGGGGCAAGCGUUGUUCGGAAUUAUUGGGCGUAAAGGGCUCGUAGGCGGUCUGUCGCGUCGGGAGUGAAAACUCGGGGCUUAACUCCGAGCCUGCUUCUGAUACGGGCAGACUAGAGGUAUGCAGGGGAGAAUGGAAUUCCUGGUGUAGCGGUGAAAUGCGCAGAUAUCAGGAGGAACACCGGUGGCGAAGGCGGUUCUCUGGGCAUGACCUGACGCUGAGGAGCGAAAGUGUGGGGAGCGAACAGG